rnacentral:lncRNA from 1 species
GGCGAGAAAAUGAUGGAGGCGGGGAGAAUGCUAAUCACACCGCCUUGAGAACUGGGGCGGGAAUCCCGGGCCUGAAGUCCCACUGAGUUUGCCGCACGCGCUCGCCUGCUGCACGGUACUAGCUACGAAGCUCUCCUUUCAGGGCCCCACUUCGGCUCCUCUUGCAUCCUAGCCCUUAAAGGUCAGCGCUUGUGUAAAUAGAACUGCAGUGCCACCUGUCUCCCUUCUGCGCGCUUGCACUGGGUGACGAAGAGGCAAUACUUAGUCCCUAGUGUAUGCCUAACAGUAAUUAAUCGUCAUUAAUGCAAGACCUGAAGCUCCUACAAUUUCGAGGCAAGUACACGAGCCAUUCAACAAACAUCAAAUUUCUGAAUUGAAGAUACUUUUUAAUUUAAUUUUUUUUUUUUUUGAGACAAGUUCUUGCUUUGUGUUUAGGCUGGCCCUGAACUCACUUUGUAGCCUGGGCUGGCCUCAAACUUAUGGUGAUCUUCCUGCCUCUGCCUCCCAAGUGCUGGGAUCACAGGCAUGUGCCACCAUGCCUAGCCCUGAAUUGAAGAUACUUUUGCUAUAUUGAACAUACUUCUACAGAACCUAACUCAUGAAAUUCAACUUCACGUUCAAGGGGUUGUUUUUGCUGUAACUCCACUGUGGACUGAUUUGAAGGGUCUGUGCCAGAUACCCUGUGCUGUUCCACCCUGACAAAGACACCGGCACAAGCAGAGUUCCACAGGACUCAUCUGUCUCCCAUCCUCCACGGUACUUCUCCAGUGCUCACCAGGGAGGCCAAUUAGGCCUCAUUCUUCCCAUCUGAUCUCCACAAACCUGGUAGACCCAAGUUCAUUCCUAGCUGUAUUCCUGGC